UUUUCCUGAGAGUGUUCCAAUUUUAAGAGUCAAGGUCCCACGUCCCGAGACUGCCCCGCACCGCAGUCCCUGGCAAACAGGGACGAUUGGUCACCUGAGGGGUGAGCCCGAACCAAGACAGAUGUGACCACACAGCAAGGCAAACAGAUCACUGAACCACUAGCUUGAGAGCCAAGUAUUGGUUUUGAGAACAAAAGAGCAGACGCAAGUAUAAUUUUGUGGUAUUAUCAGGUUCAUUCGUUCUUAUGAGCUAAACGCCUCUAAGAGAGCAGUAGCCACCAUUUACAAAGAAGCCAUUCCUUUGAAAACAGACAUGGUCAUACAGCCCCACGGCGUGGUUUGCUAAUUAUUAGGGAUAGAAGACGACUGGCAUCCAGGACUUCCACAGUGUUCUGCACGAGUGGCUGCUGGAAAAAGGCGACGGGUGUUCUAAGAACAAGAAGUGUCACAGGCACUGUGGGGACAUCACAGGGCACUAGGGUGCAGAAUGCAUUCGUGUCUGGGGACCACUCGGAGAGGCUGCAAUCCGCAAGUAAUGAAAAGCAGCAUUUGGAUCCAGCGACAGCAGGUGCUUGGGUCACCGGGUUCUAGUGGGGCAGGUGCUGCUCACUGAGCUCCAAAAGGACAGGAACACCAGCCUGGACACCAUGCUGCCCCCCUGUGCCCGGCAUCCAGGAGGCUCUCCAUAAAGAAGGCUUUUUGAGCAUCAGCGCCUGAAGAUCCCUAAGGGAAAUCUAGACCAGU